rnacentral:rRNA from 1 species
UCGAGAAUUUUUCACAAUGGGCGAAAGCCUGAUGGAGCGACGCCGCGUGGGGGAUGAAUGGCUUCGGCCCGUAAACCCCUGUCAUUCGCGAGCAAUGCCUUCCCGAUAAUACCGGGACGGUUGAUCGUAGCGAAAGAGGAAGGGACGGCUAACUCUGUGCCAGCAGCCGCGGUAAUACAGAGGUCCCAAGCGUUGUUCGGAUUCACUGGGCGUAAAGGGUGCGUAGGUGGUGAGGUAAGUUCGAUGUGAAAUCUCCGGGCUCAACCCGGAAAAGGCAUUGAAUACUAUCUUGCUCGAGGUUUGGAGGGGGGACUGGAAUUCUCGGUGUAGCAGUGAAAUGCGUAGAUAUCGAGAGGAACACCGGUGGCGAAGGCGAGUCCCUGGACAACCCCUGACACUGAGGCACGAAAGCUAGGGGAGCAAACA